UUCGAAAAUGGAUGCAUGGGCAGGAAGUCUGGAGUGACAGAUAAGUAUGUGAGGGUGGUGCAGGAUAUGUACAAGGACAGUGUGACAGAGGUGAGAUGUGUGGUAGGAAUUACAU